GAUCUGUUGGCCGAGUUGGUAUGGCCUAGCGAUGCGGCUGCUCUCACCGCAAGCGAUUAACUCAAUAUCAUUACUCAAUAUCUUUACUCAGUAUCGCUAGGCCGCGGGGGUUCGAUUCCCUCGUUGGCCA